rnacentral:lncRNA from 1 species
CAGUAUGAAAAUACGUAAAGGCACAAUACAAUAUUGUAUCAAAGCAGUAAAGUCACUUAAAAGCCGUAAACCAAUGAAGCAAUUAAAUGAAAUCUCUUUAAAUCAAGUAAAAAGAGGUAGUUUAGCAGGUAAUUGACAAAUAGAAACCCCGAUGGCCACUGUGUUAAUCACUUAAUAUUCAUUCUCAGCACUUGACACAUACUCAUGUUCACAGAAAUCAAA